UUCAUUUUUACUACCUAAAAUCCUCGUAUUUAGCCUGGAAAUAUCAUAAAUUCAUUAUUUAUUUCCCCGUACUUUGCAAAAAAGUAUACUAUGCUAAGGUAGUUAGACAUAUUUUUAUUUUGCUAAGUAAUGGAUCCCGUAUCUGCAAUUAUACUUCACAGCCUCGUCUCAGAUUAUAAACACCCUGUAGUAGCAGCGCGACGUACCUACAUACGACGUUCAAAGAAUUUAAAAAAUUGAUUCGGCAGCAUAUGAUUCAUAUCGGUUACUGCGACGGCAUCAAUAUUCUCGUAUCGUAUAAUCAGUAUUCGGAUCGUGUCGUAUCCUAUCGAGAGGUUCGUGCGUUCAAGCGAGUUUAAACAGUUAAUUCAUAAAUUGUGAGAUUACCGUGCUGAAGAGAAGGGGUGACGAUAAAAACCUUACAAAAAAUUAAACGGAAGAUGAAAAAGCUUAACCAAAAACUGAAGGAAUAUGAAGGUACAGAGUCUAGCUCAAGUGAGUCUGACUCUAGUUCUGGCUCGUCUGGAGCUCAUAUGAGUGAGGACGAGAAUCAGGGGGAAGCACAACGAAAUAUAGAGGAUCAGAUAGAACAAGUAAAUAAAAAUCUGAUUGAUAUAUUGGUUAACGAUCCUUUGGCUAUAACAACGGUCGGGCCAGAAGUACACACAGAAAUAGCUAGUAGAUGAACUAUAUUUAGUCGAAAUGCGUUAGAUAAAGACGACAGGAAGAGCCUCAUUGAAAAGUACCCCAGACCAAGCAACGUCGAAGGUCUUUCACCACCUAAACUUAAUAGGGAAAUCAGCGGGCUUUUAAGAGACACUCAGAUUAAACAAGAUAAUUUCCUACUACACUUAAAAGAACAAAUAGCGGCCGCAAUAUCAGCAAUAGCAAUUCCUAUGGAGACAUACGUUACCAAUCCUACUGAGGAAACCAAUGAAAAUGCAGGCCCUGGCUAAUGCCUCCAAACUUUUAACGGAUAUCAUACAUUCGUUGUCAACACACAGACGAUAUGGAUUGUCAAAUAGCAUCGACAAUUCUAUUAGAAAAGUCAUCAUGGACAGACCUAUUGAUGCUUUUCUCUUUGGAGAAGAUAUGAGCAAUCAUAUCAAGUCGGCCCAGGAAGUGAAGAAAGUGUGCAAUGAAAUAAAAAUGAAAUAUACCCCACGUUCUUCUGGAAUCCCAAGUUCGUCAAGUAGAAGCCAUCCUGUGCCAGGACCCUCCAACAAUUAUGGUACCAAUCCAGAUUUUUUGCCAAGCGGUACAAGUUCAACAACCGAAAGAAGACGGAGGGAGGCAGGAAAGUCCAGAAACCACAAAAGAGCAGGAGAAAACCGGACUACCGGAGGAAUUAGAGGAAACCUCAUCCUAUGCACAAAAGCCUUAUCCUGGUGGCAGGGAAAUUAUCAGGACAUCUUUGUUAAAGAGACUCUUCCCUGAGGUCGGUGUAGACGCUAUUCUGUGUUCAAUAAACGAAAGCACUCACCGUCAAUAUGACACUGUAUUUAAAAUUUGGUGGAGUUACUGUAGCAAGAAAAAACUGAACCCAUUCACAUACAACCUCCAAGAAAUUAUUUCAUUUUGAACAGAAAUAUUUAAAACAGGUGUUUCCUAUUCUAAUUUAAUAUCCAUAAAUCAGCUCUUACCAUGAUUCUUGACUUUAAGGAGGAAGACAAAAAUAUGACAAAAAGGUUUUUAAAGGGGCUAUAUAAUAUUAAACCUCCACAACCUAAAUAUGGGAUCCACACCCAGUUUUAAUGAAAGUGGCAAAAUUUUAUCCUUGUGAAAAUAUUACCUUGAAAUAUUUAACACUUAAAAUGGUUGUACUAUUAUCACUGAUAUGAGGACAACGGUUACAAACUAUCAAAAAUCAAUAUUAAACUGCUAAAAAAAACCAACGAAAACUUACAAAUUUUUAUUGCAGAAAAAAUAAAAACAUCGGGAAAAAACAGACUUCAGCCCGUAUUGAAUCUACCAUUUUUUGCAGAAAAGCCAGAGCUUUGUUUAGCUUCUACGAUUAUUGAAUAUAUUAAAAAGACAAAGGAUUUACGUCCACCAGAAGAGCAUAAAUUAAUUUUAAUCAUUAAAAAACUCAUUCACGCUGCUUCCAGCCAGACAAUAAGUCACUGGAUUAAAAAUUUCUUGGAGAGUUGUGGGGUAGAUACCAAAAUUUUUUCUGCUUAUUCCUCCAGACACAUAUCUACCUCGAUAGCCCUUAAAUUCUAUAAUAAACCAAUACUACCAAACGAUUCUGAUUUUACAAAGAGCUUCUUAAAAGGGUCAGGUAUUAAAUAAUCCUUUUACACUAAAAAUAUAAUUAGUAUUUAGUAUUAGUAAUUAUUGUAAGUUAAACUAUACGGUACGAUUAAUAAUUAUCAUUAUUAUACUCGUACGUUAUAAUAGUAUUAUUUUUCUGAUAGUUUACUCGAUAUACUUAAUUAUUCGUAGUUGUAGUUGUAUGUAUAAGUCUGUAUGCCAUUUAUGCUUUAUUAUUAUUUUAGUUUACAUAUGCAUAAUUGUUAUCAUAUAAUUAUAUUACUAAAUUUAUAUUGCACACAAAAUGUAAUUUAAAUGUUAUAUAAUUUUUGUUAUUAUUUUGUUCUAUGAAUAAACGCAUAAUGAAUGCAUAUUAUUUAAAUUAACCCAUAAAUAAAAUUUUUUUCUCUGUUAUGAGAUUACGUCUGUCCAGAUUGCAAAUUCUUUCAACAUCUACAGGGUGUUUAUAAUCUGAGACGAGGCUGCGAAGUAUAAUUAGAAGAUCAAUCGACUUACCUGUAAGGAAGAGUGAUCCUAAUUAUA